GCUUGGUCCAAAGGUAGUGAGUUAUCUCACUUGAUUGUUCACAGUCAGUUACAGAUCUAACUCCUUGUUCUACUCUUUCCCCUCUUCUCACUAUAGCACUUGAUCAGUCUUUU
rnacentral:Y_RNA from 1 species